UGUGCAGCAGCGGAGCACGCAGGAUGCGCGAGCUGCUGCUGGACGUUCCCGCCGGAAUAUAUCGCUGGAAUGUCACUUUAAAUGAUCCGCGCGCGGCCGCGCAUCAGCCGCUGCCGCGCAGUUUCGUGCGUGGCCUCGUGCACUCGCCUUUUCCGCAUCUCGUGUGUACAUACAAUAUGUACUCAUUUAAAUGGCAUUUUGAUUUUGCCAGCCUGGGGUUGUUCGUGUGGUGUAUAACACAGGAAGUGACAUCAACAACGGGUCAAAAGCAAAAAAAAAAAAAAAAAAAGAAAAAAAAAUUGAAAUAAAUAAAAGUGUGUCGCAGGAGCGGGACUGAGAAAUGUCCAGAACCCGGCGGUGGUGUGCGCGGUGUAGCGCGCGGCAGCUUCAAGAUGUUCAUGCCUCGUUUCCAAGACUCUGGAGGACAUGAAUGUGCCGGUGCGGCCAGACGUCACGAGAUCAGCUGCUCAGACUCAAAGGACUGCGACAUGUCACUCUCACCGGACACCAGAGAUUGUGAGAACAAGACGAUGAGGUUAUGAAGUUAGCUGUUUUCUCUUCACUUCAGUGGCUCUGUAAG